rnacentral:rRNA from 1 species
GACGAACGCUGGCGGCGUGCUUAACACAUGCAAGUCGAACGGAAAGGCCCUGCUUUUGUGGGGUGCUCGAGUGGCGAACGGGUGAGUAACACGUGAGUAACCUGCCCUUGACUUUGGGAUAACUUCAGGAAACUGGGGCUAAUACCGGAUAGGAGCUCCUGCUGCAUGGUGGGGGUUGGAAAGUUUCGGCGGUUGGGGAUGGACUCGCGGCUUAUCAGCUUGUUGGUGAGGUAGUGGCUUACCAAGGCUUUGACGGGUAGCCGGCCUGAGAGGGUGACCGGCCACAUUGGGACUGAGAUACGGCCCAGACUCCUACGGGAGGCAGCAGUGGGGAAUAUGGCACAAUGGGCGGAAGCCUGAUGCAGCAACGCCGCGUGCGGGAUGACGGCCUUCGGGUUGUAAACCGCUUUCGCCGGUGACGAAGCGUGAGUGACGGUAAUGGGUAAAGAAGCACCGGCUAACUACGUG